CGUAAACAAGGCCGAAGCUUCUUCCUGCUGAACGUGAGAAGGAUCGUGCUUUGAUCCUCAUAAUCCAGCGACAGCAACGCCGAUUUUUAUAGGGGCAUAGUUAGGAUUUUGCCUGUGACGUUUUCUCAAGCAGCAGCUUCAGGAUAAGAAAGAUGGAGCCGGAGGUAGUGGAGGCAGAGCUAGUUUUACCAUCCUAUCUCAGUUUUAAGCGGGUACAAACAUAUGAGAAAUAUCCCAAAGGCCAAGCCCGUGGCCGGCACUGGAAACAUCUUAAGCAGAUUCUUCAAGCUGAGAACUACCAGAAUUACUCACCUGAUGAACCCAACUAUGUGAAUAUUGAGUCACCACCUUCUUUU